rnacentral:misc_RNA from 1 species
AACGGUCUAUACCUGCGGUACCUGCGGAAGGAUCAUUAACGAUUUCGGUGUAAAAAACCGUUUUCUACCUAUGUCUACGCGUACCACUUGUUUCCUCGGGGGGCUUGCCCCCCGCUAGGACCCUUUAUCAAACCUUUUUGUAAUAGCAGUCAGCGUCUGAUACUACGUUAAUUAUUAAAACUUUCAACAAUGGAUCUCU